GGAGAAGUACCCAAGAGGCCGAAGGGGGCGGUUUGCUAAACCGUUAGCGGGUGCAUAGCCCGGCUCGGGUUCGAAUCCCGACUUCUCCGCCA
rnacentral:tRNA from 1 species